UUAUUUUUUCUUUUAAUAUCUCAUUAUAUACCUAAUAAGAUACAAAUUAUCAUUUGUAUUUUGGUAAAUGUUACGCCACGAGGCUUUCCAUGAGCCGUUAUUCCUAACCGUCGCAUCGCAGUAUCGCGAGCGAAUCGUCUCAAGCAGCCCGACAAAUAUACAAUGUAGCGGCCAACAUCAAACAGAUCGAGUUCUAGAAACGUCGAUUCGUUUCGUUAUUUUAAACACACUCAUAAGGUGACAUGCGUGAUCAUGGCGUGAUCAGUGACGUGAUCGGUGGCGUGACCCGAGCAUGGUGGGGAUCGCUUGCCAUGAAACACAAAGGGCCUAUCGAAGGGCAAUCAGUAUCGAUCGAGGAUCCAAACGGAAUGUCUCCAAUCUCCAACGAAAUACAAGUCGUCCAAUCUAUCAAAUACAAGACACAUUGUAAAGUCGAGUCGAAUCAUUAUAUCAAACUAACUGCAUCAUCUUUCAAAUAAUUUGUGGCGCUUCAUUAUACUGUUUUUCAUAUAUAUACUGUCAAAUAUAUCAUUUUUUGUUAGCCCUGUUAAUUCAGUGUUAAUCUCAAUUAACCACCUCUGUCAUCUUAACCGACACAGAGGAACGACUAAUUCGCGGCGUCGAUUUUCUGAAUCGUAGCGAGAAUUUACGCCUCUCGCUGACGCGCUUUCCUCGCGAUCGCGUCUCUCCGCGAACGGUCGUAACAUUUUUUGGUCCUUCGAGCCGGAUUGCGUGUCGAGUGAAAGUGCACACCAGUGACACCCACUACCAUACAGUGCCACGUGAAUCCGACAUAAACAGCAGCGGAAGCGUUACCACUCCAGCGAAGUAAGUAACGCCAAGGGCAGUCAUUUUGAAGAGGCAUAACUCGGUGGUUGAAGAACGUAACCACGCAUCCUCACGUCAACAAAUAGAGGGUCAACUUCCGCAAGGAAACGUCUUAGACGCCAAUCGAGACACACACCGUGACGAGCAACAUCCGAACACACAACCACAAGGUGGUAAUCGCUUGAGACUUACUCGAGAUUCCUGACGUCCUUGUGGUCAACAAGAAUUCAGACUGGAUAGCGUCGAUGUGUAUAUUAAUAAUGUACUAUACUACGAAGGAUCCAUGUAGAUGGUAAUCGUUGCAGUCAUUCUAUUUUGGAGGAUCGCAGGAACUCGUACGAAGCAAAACCCCGGACGCACUGUGUGAAUCCAUUGCAUAAUUCAUAAAGGAAGCUCUUGCAUCGAUGUAUCUGGGUCCUUCGCUAAAUCUGGUCCUGGAACGAGUGGUGAAUUUUUAAAAUACGAAACUUAUAGGAACUUGGUUACCGAGGACAAGGCUUUUCGAAAAACUAUGCGAGGAUAUGGCACUGUACAGUAAUAGUGUAACUUGUUUUGGCUUUCGUCUAGUAAUGUGUUAUAGUUAUCGCAUAAUAAUUCAUAGGAAUUACGAAUUACGACGCGAACUUUACAUUUGCGCUGGGUACUAACAUUUUGCUCGUAAUUAGAUUACCUUUGUGACGUUUUUGAGGAACUGGAUGCAUUGGACCACCUUCCCUUACAAGCGAACUUUUACAAGUACCCGACAAGGAUUCAGUAUCCGGGAGAAACUAUGGAGGAGAAGAAGGAAGAAUGUUACAAAGGUUGUUUUCCCCUAUUGCAGUACUUUGUAACAGGAAAGUCGUCCGUGAGAAUUCGGCCUUUCUCCCUUUGUUUUUUCGUCCCGUACACGUACCGACAAUGGAGACGAAUUAAAAGACAAUGCAUAUUAAUUAACCCCCUGCCCCCUGUGAAACGGGUGAGGACAAUCCACGACAACGAUUCGCUGGGAAUUCAGCCAUGACGGACCAGGAACAAGGGCAAUUAGAGAAAAUCAAUGUUGCACAACACGUUUGUAUGUUGCAUUUAAUAACUGUGCUUGAGUGGAACUCGAUUCGCCCUUUGAUGGCAUAACGAACCACCUGCAACGUCGCAUGCCGCGCUUUUUCCCCGUUUGGUUGUGUUGUAAAUUGCUUCGUUUCAACGAGGACGAAGACGUAACAACAUGGUGCGCGCCCGUUGCUCACGACUGGAUUAUUUUUCCCUUUACCCUUAUACUGUUUCUUUUAUCCUUUUCCCUCCCCUCUUCGAUCCCCUUUAUUUAUUUUUUUUUUCGUUUUCAGUCGAAGCUGGCUAAUUAAAUGAAUGCCUGCCGGCGUUGCGUCGCGAAGCGUAUCGAUUUACGUUCCACGGGGUUGGUCAUUAAAAGAGGGUGCGAGGGCAGGUUUUUUCUUUUAUUGCACGAUAAAAGGGGAACGUGUUUGGCGUUCGACUCGCUCUCUGAUCCCCGGAUCAAAGAUUCUUACGUGUUUUUUUGUUUUAUUCGCUCUUAAUCUCUGGUGAUUACGCUUUUGUAGAAAUUUCAUGUAGCCCCGAGCUUGAACGGGACAAGGCAGGCGAGCGAUUGGCAAGUCGGUUGCUUUUAUUUCGCAAUUUCAAGUUUAAUGGAUCGCGUAAGAUUUGUCGGCUUGUACAAAGCUGUUUGCAAGUGCAGCCAAAGAGUUAAGAUACUUUUGUAAUUCGAAUGUAAUUUGAGUUAAUUUCUGAAAUUAAAUGUUACUAGACGUGACUCGUGUAGACUUUUAAAUGCCACCGAUGGGUGCUAAUUUGGCUAGAUACGUCAGCAUCGAUUCCUCUAUAUUGCCUUGCCGAUAGCAUUACAUUACGUUUUAUGAAUAUAAUCCACAAAGUAGUAAAUGUACUUGUGCAUUUUGCUAAAGACGAUUUUGUACACUUACACCGAUGGUUAAUUAAUUUUAUCCUUUCAAAUUUAUCAAAAUUCUCAAAUGCCGAAUUGAACAAUUUCCCGAAUAUCCUAUUCGUUUUUAUUCAAUGCUAAAUGCAUGUGGACAAUUUAGAAAUACUUUACUCGUUAUUUAUCUUUUAUAACCGCCUCCUUCCCGGUUAAGUCGAACUUCCAGUUACGUUUCUCCUCGGUCGCUUUGGAAAUGAUAUGUAUAAAAUUCGGAUGGCAAUUAACGAGUUAACCAGUAAAACUCAAUUUAGCACUUACAAAACAUACAAAUUUAUCGAACCUUCUAUAUUCCAUAGUUUUACAGUAUUUAUUACUUUUAGUUUCAGUACGUUGUCUCCCGAGGUGUACUUUAGAGAUAUAGCGUAAAAAAUGGCGGUAAAAGAUGGUUGAAGGAAAGUAAAUAGCCUUUCGAAAAUCUUCCUUCAAUUUAACUCGCCGGUGCGGCGAUAAAAAGCAUUUCUUAAGUUUGCCAAUAUAUCGACGCAUAUUUUAUAGGUCGAACCAUUAUCGGAACAUCUCUUCAGACUAGAAGCGGAGUGAUGGAGGCCCUUAAGAACCAGGCUUUCGCCUGUCUUCACCUUCGGAAAGUUGAAGGAGAUGUUUCACUUGUUGCUAGAGUGCUCGGACCACUUCGACGAGUAUCUGGACAGAUUGAUCGUGGAAGGCGAGCUGAUCGAGUGUCGUGAAAUCUCGGCGAGAUACACCGCCGACCUGAUCGGUUCUUGCGCUUUCAGUAACGAGAUGAAUGUAUUCGCGGUCGAAGAGAACUGGUUUCGUAGAGAAACGAAAUAUUUGGACGUGUAUUCCCAAUUCCUCUACUUUUUACAUAAGCAUUGCAAUUUAUUUUUUUGAAAAGUCAUUUAUUGAUUAGAAAAUUUACAGCGCCUACAUAAUUAACGUAUUUGAAUAUUUCUUCCUUUUUUUAAUACGUAUAUUUUAUACGUUUUUUAUACGAGAAACGUUAAGAAAGUACCAUUAUGGCUCUUCAGAACAGCGUUAGAGGAUUACACGUUUUCAGGAACGAAAGUAACCAUACGAAAUAGUUAAAACACUUUUAUUUCUGUUUAGCCGAUUCAUGGAGAUCUGAAAAUUUAUCCGAAUGCGGAAGUCUUCGAUGCUGAAAGAUUCAUGGAUGACAACGCGAGAAGCAAACAUUCAAUGUUCUAUCUGCAUUUUAGGGAUGGUCCUAGAAAUUGUAUUGGUGCAAGAUGUGCUGGAAACCAGACAAACGUGGCACUUAUCACAGUCUUGUUGGAAUCUAAAGUGCAAGUAUGCGAAGAAACUUUCGAAAAAUAUGUUACGGACAAGAUGACAUUGUUCCUUCUGCAACUAACACACGGAAUAUACGUAUGCGAAGAUGACAAAGCUCAUGGCAUAGAAGAAUAACAAAAUUUAUAUUGUUAAUGUUUAUAUCUGGUUUAACGUAUCCGUAUCGUAUUCGCUCGACGUGGAUUAAUAUAUCGUAUAUGAGCGGAUUGGAACGUUCUAACUGUUAUUUUUAUCUUCAUAUUUGAAUCGGGACAGCCAGAAGAAUAUUUCUUCGUAGUAAAUCGCUUCUAAAAACGUUAUAGUUUUACAAGAACAAAAGUCGUUAUAGGAAAGGGUCGGACUAGCGGGACGGCGAUCUACGAGAUUCAUCGUGAUUCCAAUAUUUACCCUGAGUCGGAUCUGCUCCGAUCCCAGGGGUUCAGUUCAAGAACGAGGAUUUCGUGUCAGCAAAUCCGAUGUCCCACCUAGCUGCUUUUUAGAGACGGUUCAAGGAACUGCAUCGGCAACGCCGUGAAAAAUCUAUUAUUGUGUCCGGGGAUCUCUGCGCUUCUGAAAUAUUGAAUUCGUUUGCUUUUACGGAAUCCUACAAACGUAGAUAUACUUUCUUGUUAUAUUCAAUAAGACACACCACGAAUAGAGUAACUUUCGAGUGUGUAUUACAUAGUUACUUCGCGAAGUAGUAUAAACAUGUAAUAGGUAGCACAAUAAAGCGCGAUAAGUAGAUUGUGAAUUUUUAUAUAUUUAAGAAGUUUAAAGGCGAGCAAAUAUAUAAAAUACACAUAACGCGUGAGAAAUUAUCUAAGAUGGCUACCUAUUUUUUCAAUAUUUAGAAAGCGAAAAGAAAGUUUCUACGAGGGUUUUAUUUUCUUAGUUGUGCCUAAAAAGAUAUUAAUUUGCAUAAAUAUCAAUAGUUAAAAGAAAUACAGAAACGAUAUAUAGUGAAAUUUAUACAUCGUGUGUCUUAUAAUGAAACAGGAAACGUUGACAAAUCUGAUUUUGAUUCAUCGGUUAGUUUAUACGAGAGACGGAUGAAAAUGACGAGUAACUGGAAAAUGGAGAUGCUCGAUGACUCGAAAGAAAAAGCAAAGUCCUCAUCAGAGACACGUAGUAUUUGCUCGAAUAAUUAGAUACGUAGCAUCCAAUCGAUGUAAAUUCGCAAACGCAAAAGGUGGUUUACUGCAGCCAUUAACAAAAUUUAAUAUCGUUCUAUAUCCGCUUAAAAAAUAUAGGUUUGAAAUAUAGAAGUAUGGAAAAUCUUAUGUCCGGAAAUGUAAAAUCAACCAAGUUAUAAUUAUUUGGAGGAAACGAGAAUCGAUAGUCGAGGACGUAUUUCUAGGUAUAUGCACGUGUACUUGAUUUAGUUGAUAACUGUUGAAUUAAUAAAUCUGUUCAAGUUAAAUUUCGCUAGAAAAUUACCUGCUGAAUGUUGCAACAGCGCAAGGUUUCAUGAUUUGCACACCUUGCACAGUUUGGCAUAAGAAACACGUGACGUGGCGGAGAUGAAACAAGGAUGACGUUUGAGGGCAAAGGGUUGAAACAAGUAAAUCUUGUCACGACAGCGACGCGACGCGGUGUUUCUCUCUUUCGCGAAGCGCUUUUUAAAGAAUUCGUUUUGGCUAUUUUCCUCGUUGUUCUUUUCAAGCGCGCCAUGAAAUGUUCCCCUUGUUUAACGAAAUAUCGCCCUUUAUUUUAUCGUUACUUUUUCUUUCUUAUCCUUUUUUAUUUUCUUCGCUUGUUCUUUGUGGAUAGAAAAGGAUGGAACAUUUUCAAUUUCGCAAGUUGCACUCAUCGUGCUAUUACAGAGACACUAUGCUUUUGUAUAACUAUGAACAUUCGCGCAUCGCUAAACGUAGAACUGUUUCGACUAAAAUAAUUCUGGCAAAGGCGAAGAUUUGAAGAGCGUAGAAGUUUUAGUUAUUUACAACUAACUAACAAAACACGAAAUUUCCUUAUUUCGAUAGCUGAUGUCGAACAAGUAUCUAUUUUUUAUGAGAUAAAUGUAAACAUUUUUUUAAAUUCCUGCUAAAAAUUUGUUAAUAUAUCGAACGAGGUCAGAGUUACUUCGUAUCGAUACGUUAGCUUAAAAAUAUAUAAAGAAUUCUAUGGCAAAACGUGUUUUCUUCUUUCCAUUGAUAAAUCAGGUUAUUGUCAUUAUCGAUAGCGUUUGAAUAUUGGAAUCAUAACGAAUCAUGAAAAAUCUAGUAUCCACUGUAUUAUCACGGGAAGACAUCCUAAAAUUCCGAGUACCCCGCAUCGCGUGGCUAGUGUGUAUUUUGAACUUAACCCCUUUCUUAGGGUGCGCCCUAGAAACUUAUUGCAGAAGCAAUAAACUUCCUUCUCGAGCGCACGAUUGUCGACUUUUCUGUGCUUUUAGUAACCUGUUCGUAAUGGUGACGAACGUGCCACCUCCUAUUUCAUUUGAUGAAAUCCUUUGUAACCGACUCGAGAGAUCAUAAUUGACGGAUAUGGUAACAGUAUCUUUAGGUUCCCGAUCUUUUAAACGUUACGUCCUGGUAACAACCUUCGUAACAGAUAAAAGAGUUUCUUUGAAAUACUUUUUCUAGCGACUGGAAAUUUGCUCAUCCGUGUUUAAAUCUGCGCCAGA